rnacentral:rRNA from 1 species
AUUUUCUGCCACCGAAUACAUUAGCAUGGGAUAAUGGAAUAGGACCCUGUCCUCCUAUUUUCAGUUGGUUUUGGCAGCGCGAGGACUAGGGUAAUGAUUAAUAGGGAUAGUUGGGGGCAUUAAUAUUUAAUUGUCAGAGGUGAAAUUCUUGGAUUUAUGAAAGAUUAACUUCUGCGAAAGCAUCUGCCAAGGAUGUUUUCAUUAAUCAAGAACGAAAGUUAGGGGAUCGAAGACGAUCAGAUACCGUCGUAGUCUUAACCAUAAACGAUGCCGACCAGCGAUUAGGAGACGUUGAAUACAAAACACCACCAUCGGUGCGGUCGUCCUUGGCGUCUCGGUCCUUCACGGGGCCGGGGCGCGGGGGCGGCUUAGCCCGGUGGCACCGGUGAAUGACUCCCCUAGCAGCUUGUGAGAA